AGGACGAACGCUGGCGGCGUGCUUAACACAUGCAAGUCGAACGGUGGAGGAGAGCUUGCUCUCUGGAUCAGUGGCGAACGGGUGAGUAACACGUGAGUAACCUGCCCUUGACUCUGGGAUAAGCGUUGGAAACGACGUCUAAUACCGGAUACGAGCUUCGAGUCGCAUGGCUAGGAGCUAGGAAAGUAAUUUCGGUCAAGGAUGGACUCGCGGCCUAUCAGCUAGUUGGUGAGGUAAUGGCUCACCAAGGCGACGACGGGUAGCCGGCCUGAGGAGGGUGACCGGCCAGACGUAGGGACUGACGACACCGGCCCAGGACCUCCCGUACGGGGA
rnacentral:rRNA from 1 species